ACCUGGGUGGCUCAGUCGGUUAAGCGUCUGACUUCGGCUCAGGUCAUGAUCUCGCGGUUCGUGAGUUCAAGCCUCGCGUCAGGCU
rnacentral:tRNA from 1 species